UUGAACGCUGGCGGCAGGCCUAACACAUGCAAGUCGAGCGGAUGAAGGGAGCUUGCUCCUGGAUUCAGCGGCGGACGGGUGAGUAAUGCCUAGGAAUCUGCCUGGUAGUGGGGGAUAACGUCCGGAAACGGGCGCUAAUACCGCAUACGUCCUGAGGGAGAAAGUGGGGGAUCUUCGGACCUCACGCUAUCAGAUGAGCCUAGGUCGGAUUAGCUAGUUGGUGGGGUAAAGGCCUACCAAGGCGACGACCCGUAACUGGUCUGAGAGGAUGAUCAGUCACACUGGAACUGAGACACGGUCCAGACUCCUACGGGAGGCAGCAGUGGGGAAUAUUGGACAAUGGGCGAAAGCCUGAUCCAGCCAUGCCGCGUGUGUGAAGAAGGUCUUCGGAUUGUAAAGCACUUUAAGUUGGGAGGAAGGGCAGUAAGUUAAUACCUUGCUGUUUUGACGUUACCAACAGAAUAAGCACCGGCUAACUUCGUG
rnacentral:rRNA from 1 species